rnacentral:rRNA from 1 species
CAGCCGCCGCGGGAAUACGAGGGGGGCAAGCGUUGUUCGGAAUUAUUGGGCGUAAAGGGUGCGUAGGCGGUUUGAUAAGUCUUGUGUGAAAUCUCUGGGCUCAACCCAGAGUCUGCACAGGAAACUGUCGGGCUUGAGAGUGGGAGAGGUGAGUGGAAUUUCCGGUGUAGCGGUGAAAUGCGUAGAUAUCGGAAGGAACACCUGUGGCGAAAGCGGCUCACUGGACCAUUUCUGACGCUGAUGCACGAAAGCUAGGGGAGCAAACAGGAUUAGAUACCCCAGUAGUCCCUGUCUCUUAUAC